rnacentral:misc_RNA from 1 species
UCGAUGAGAAUCUCUACAUCAUAACAAGUUUUUGCUCAUUUCCAAGGUAAAUAAAUUAUCAUUUACUGUAUGAUGACAGAACAAAGCAAAUGUGAUUUCAACAAAAUAAUUUACCCUAUGGGAGCUUAAGGUGCUUAUUGGCAUGGUUUUUGCCAAGAAGCAGAAAGAGCAAAGACUUGUCAUGAUGUAGAGAUUCUCAUCGAUAUGACUUGAGAUGGAAAACUUGGCAGGUAGGCUUAUAUGACCUUUUUACUGAAGCAUGCUCAAACUUCUUUGCAGCAGCUUCAUUCUCUUCUAAGCUGUUCUGAAGAAAGCCACCAUGUUGAGCUCCGAAAUUUGGCUGGACGGCCAAACUUAGAUAAAUCAGCAACCUUUGCUUUACGCUGACCUGGAUAGCCAGAAAAUAUAACAACACCACCAGAAGACACCCUUGCCAAUUCAGGAAGAGUUUUGUUGAGAUAUCUAGGAGACAAGUAAUCCAACGCAUCUGAAAUUAUAACAAGAGAAAA